GAUAUACUCCCUCCGUCCGAAAAUACUUGUCAUCAAAAUGGACAAAAAGGGAUGUAUCUAGAACUAAAAUACAUCUAGAUACAUCCCCUUUUAUUCAUUUUGAUGACAAGUAUUUCCGGACGGAGGGAGUAUUUG
rnacentral:pre_miRNA from 1 species